CCAAAGAGCAGUUACAAUUACAAAACAACACUGACUUUAACUACCCUUUGCCCACCACAUGGUGAUUUUGUGAACUUCUUCGCAAACACACGGAGAUGACUGCUGUAACUUUGCUGAACGAUCUAAUUACUUGAAUUUAAAUACCUCAGCCACCAUGGUGAGAUUCAAACUCAUAUCUCUGGAUCAUUGGUUCGUAAUUCUGGUUGCUUGUCCAAUAACAACAUAGCAACCAUACUGGAAGGCUACUGGAACUACAAUCCGGCAUGUCAGUUUUCAGGUCUAUUAGAAGAACUCCUUUAUGGUGCACUCCUUCCACAGCUCCUCAUUUCGCUCUCUGACCCCAUUUGGAGUCAGCAAUAAAGUGACAGAUAACAACUAAACUUGGAAACAAGACAUCUGGCAAUCUCAGUGGCAUAGAUUUCUUCUUAUGUCAAUUUAGCUAUAGAAUUAACAAAAGGGGAACUCUGGUCUCCAGCAUAUCAUGAAGCAGGCUGAACCCCAAGUCACAAGGAAGAAGUAUGACUGACAGCAAACCAAGGAGCAAGAAACUCUAAGUUUUCAUAUUGUUUGAAAUAUUUACAGCAAUGAAACAAAGAUUGGAAUCGGGA